rnacentral:rRNA from 1 species
UACGUAGGGGGCUAGCGUUGUCCGGAAUCAUUGGGCGUAAAGAGCGUGUAGGCGGUCUGUCGCGUCUGCUGUGAAAAUCCGGGGCUCAACCCCGGACUUGCAGUGGGUACGGGCAGACUAGAGUGUGGUAGGGGGAGACUGGAAUUCCUGGUGUAGCGGUGAAAUGCGCAGAUAUCAGGAGGAACACCGGUGGCGAAGGCGGGUCUCUGGGCAGUAACUGACGCUGAGGCGCGAAAGCGUGGGGAGCAAACAGG